UUCACCACCUCAAGGAUAUCUUACUCAUUUUUCUCAUUUUCCUCGUUUCUUUCAUUUCUCUCCUUUUCCUCAUCUUCAUCGUCUCCAUCAUCUCCAUCAUCUCCGUCAUCUCCAUCAUCUCCAUCAUUCUCAUAAUUUCCAUUAUUUCCAUCUUCCUCUGGGUCUGUCCGGCCUGCCCCCAGACCGCGAAUUUCCUCGUGCUCUUUCCCUCCGUGUCUCCCACGACGAUUUCAUCAAAAUGUCGCUCUCUUGGGCGUUGUCGCAUGGCCUGGUUGCUUCAUUAUCAGAGCGAUAAGACAAUUCUUAGGCCUUUUAUAAGCAUUUAGGACAGAGUCGAUAUCAUCUCCGGGAUCAUUCACGCUUGCGUCUUACUGACGGCAUUACUUCAAUGACUGUAACAUUAACAGGAAAAUCAAUCAACAAGAAAGACUCUGGAAUGUUCGUUUGUUCUGCAUUUUACCAAGGUCGAAUUGUCAGCGUGAUAUUAAAAAUUCAGUCGAUAAAGGCCACAGGAAAAAUGAGUAGCCGUGGAGAGUUAUAGAGAAUUCAACCAAUCGCCGAGAACAAUCCCCACCAUCAUCUCUCGAGGAAUAGAAGUUUUGAAAGGCUUUGAGAGCCCGGUGCGAGAUAAAUAAGUCACGACUACAUGGAGAAAGAGACUAUGUGAGGCUACAUGAGGUUUUCCACUGUUUUACCUUUGCAUUGUUUUUUGGAUGAAAUUUAAAUAAUGAGUACGCACAGUGACCGGAAAUGCUGAAGAACGAGUCAUUGACAGAUACAUACGCGACAUUUCAUUACGUUCUUAUCGUAACACGCAUUAACAGAAAAUCUCGUUGAAUCGUGUCCGCCAUCUUGAAAUGAUGAAUUCUUGCAUCAAUUGAAGGAACACGUCAUUAUUGCGCUCAUCGAUGGAACUGAAUGCUGACUUACUUCUUUCAUUUCCAUUCAGUUCAACCGGGAAUAAUAAUUUCCACGAUGAAACUUGAAUUAACUCAACUUACGUGUUAUCAAUAUAAUUAUUCAAAGUAACUUCUCACCCUUGUGGUAAUUCGACGUUCGUUGAGAUCUGCAAGAAAAUUUUUGAAAAUUCAAUGAUAUUUGGAAUUAUGAUGGCUUCGGGGAUUGUGUACCUUUACAACAUGACACAUCUUCUUUGACGACGCUUCUGAGGCUCUGGUCGGAGGACAGC